rnacentral:rRNA from 1 species
UGCUGGUAUUCCGUUACGAACGAGACCUUAACCUGCUAAAUAGUUACAUCUAACUUCGGUUAUGUGGGCAUCUUCUUAGAGGGACUUUGUAUUUUUCAUGCAAGGAAGUUUGAGGCAAUAACAGGUCUGUGAUGCCCUUAGAUGUUUUGGGCUGCACGCGCGCUACACUGAUGCAGUCACCGAGUUUUUUCUUUCCUGGAAAGGUUGGGCAAUCUUUUGAAAAUGCAUCGUGAUGGGGAUAGAUUAUUGCAAUUAUUAAUCUUCAACGAGGAAUACCUAGUAGGCGCAUGUCAUCAGCGUGCGUCGAUUACGUCCCUGCCCUUUGUACACACCGCCCGUCGCUCCUACCGAUUGAAUGAUCCGGUGAGGCCCCCGGAAUGGAGUCACUGCGCGGUUUUCCGCAAUGAGAUUCUGUGAAGCUGUCCAAACCUUAUCAUUUAGAGGAAGGAGAAGUCGUAACAAGGUUUCCGUAGGUGAACCUGCAGAAGGAUCAAUCCAUAUGACUAGUAGAUCCUCUAGAGUCGACCUGCAGGCAUGCAAGCUUUCCCUAU